CGCAGCCUCCUCCCUGGAGCGGUGGUUUUCGGGGCCGCCGAGGAACCUGUCCCUGAGGCCGCGCUCAAGACGACGCGACCUGUUUUUUGACCCAGCGGGAAGUGCUGGCGCAGGUGGUCUCGAAUGCGUGUUCCUCUUUGCCUCUGAUGUCUGGAAGGGGAAUUCAGCAGCAAGGACUCCUGUCUGGAGCUCUGACCCCAACUUCCUCAAUCCAGGCUCUAGAGAGGCGCCCGUAGCUGAGCCCCGGGGUCCCGCGGGCCGCGCACUCUCUCUCCCUUUCCCUGCUCUGCACCCCAGCCCGCGCUCCGGCCAGGGCAGACGUCCCUCCGUGCCCGCGCCGGCGCUUGUCCCUGUCCCGACCUGGGCUGGCCAUCACCCUGCAUUGGGUCGGAUAGUCGCAAGUCUCUCCCCUCUGAGACCGCUUCUGUUUUAAGACUGCGCAUCGCGAGGCGUUCAGUAACUGUUAUGGAAUGAAUAACAUGAGCCCAUCUGACUAUGGGAACAGCCUCCUGAGACCUGUGGGAAUGUGGUGACAUCAGCCGUUACCCCACUGGCUGGUCAACUUUAUCUCGUGGGAUCCUCUGACAACCCUCGAGGAAAGAGAUGCUCCCUUACAGAGGAGGAGGCUGGGACUUCCGGCUCAAGUUACUGAUUCCCGAGGUCACCUGGCCUAGGACCUGGAGCAGGGAGGAAGAUGGCAGGACAGAGGCUGAUGGUGACCCCUCCAUGCCAGGCGCUCUCUGGUGGUCUCGUGUGACCUGCUGGCUGGGUGUCCUGUUCUACACACAGGGAAAUGGAAGUCCUCACACAAAACAACACCCGGGUGCCAGACAGAAAACCUUGGGAGAGCGGACAGCAGAUCUGUGAGCCACAGAGAGGUGAGCCCUUGGGAAGCACCACUGCCCUCGGAACGAUCUGGGCCAAGCCCCAUCUCCAUCCCCUUCCAUUUCAAGCAGCCUCAGCACGGAUGGCCUUUAUCCAUCCUGCACAGCAGUGCCGGCUACCUUCCACGAGCCCGUCCUCAGCGCACUUCGCUUAGUGGGAGAGACGCUGUUCUUUCAACAGAUCACGGCACAAAGGCGUGGAUGAGGACAGACUGGAAUGAACUCGAAGAACGAGGGCCUUGGUGCUGCAGCUACAUAGAGCCCGCGUCAGCUCUGCUCCGCGAUCGGUCUCCUUUCUGGCCUUAGGUUUUGCACAACUGUCCGCUGGCUUCGGAAGGGGGGCGGCAUUUCAGGUGGGGCACCUCACAGCACCCAGAUGUCCACAUUUGGAGGUGACACAGGUGACCCAGGUGCAUUCUCAGGAAAAAGUGUGCUGCUGCCGCACCCACAUCAAAAGCGUGUGGUCCGAGUGUGGGAGUCCAGGGCGGUGGGAGCACGAUUCCUGGCACAGACAUGGACUUCCUGAUACGCAGCCUCCCUUUACUUCGGGUUCCCCAUCUCUAAAGCAGGGCAAGAUCUAACUUUCCUGGUUCCACAAAACCUUGUGGGCAAACCACUUCACUGGGAGGACCCAGGGUGCCAGGGACCAGCCCCUCCAGCGUGCUCCCCAAGGUCUUCGGAGAAUCCACUGGACACGGUCUCCACUGUGUUUCUUAGAGGAAGCGAGGCCAUUAGAAAAAGUGCUCCCCGGUUUCGAGGUUAAGCUUCACCGUGGCUCUCAUAGCUCCCGUCUGGCCUCGGCACUGCCUCCCAAGGGCUCUUCCCAACCCACAGUCAGAUUCUGCCUCUCUCCAGCUUCACUCCCACUAAGCACUUAUGGGGGAGAAACACCCGGCUGGCCCACCAUCCUCGACCUUCUGAAGUGAACAUGCUGGCAGCCCAGAUUAGUUUCAAGAUCCCCAGCAAGGCUGGUCCCUUUUCACGUCCCAGGGCCUCUGCAAAUGCUGCUCCCUCUCUGUACAUUCUUCCCUUCUGAUCAGCUCAGUAAACUCCUCUUCAUCCUUCAGAACCCAGCUCCUUUCAUCCCCUCUGGGAAGUCUUCCCUGGGCCCCUGUAUUCCCUCUCCUCAGGCUCAGCAUCAGGGGGCAUGGGAGGCCCUGAGGACUGCCCUCCACCCCUACCCCCAGGCCAGGCUGGCUGGAGUGCUUCUGGGAAGCAGGAGCCAAUCUGCCUCUUCCCAUUUUGCAUCCAGACUCCUUCCCCCACAAGGAGGUCAGGAACCUCCCAGGGCCAGGCAGGCCAGAAGCAGGGAGGGAUGGCUGGAGAUAGGUGGAGGGAGAUGGUCUUCCAGAUGUAAAGAGAUUGGAGCUGGGUGAGGGGGACACCUGGGAAUGAGAUUACGGGCUCCUGGUUGUAUGUGUGAUCACCUCCUGCUGGUGCGUGGGUAGCCCAGGGAUGGCUCUUGGGAGAGGCCCCUCUCUGUCAUUUUCAGCACACAUCCAGUGGGUGCCCGAGCAGCAAGCUCAGGAGGGGCCGAGGGCACCCUGGUGCCCAGGAUCCUUCUGCCCGAGCUGAGCUGCUGCCCUCAGGAGGAAGAGGCGGCCGUGAGAAAGGCAGGCCCAACUGCCCAGGAGAUAAAACCUGGGAGGGGAGGUGCCAGCAGCCCGUCCUCUUUCCGCCCCAGGCUGGCCACGGGUGAUGUUCAGAUAGCUCCCUGGGUCUGGCUUUUCCUGUUCCUAGAACUGCUGCACAUGGUAAUUUCUCUGGGCUAAGUCAGAAGUGGCCGUUGGGGAGCGUCCUCUGUGUGUGUGUGUGUGUGUGUGUGUGUGUGUAGUAUCUCAGUUUAUAGCAACAGGAAAUUUGGGAUUUGAAUCAGCACCACGUCCCACGCGGUCUUAUUUCCUAGAAAGGACAGAGCUGAUAGCCUGGAGCUGGACCCCUGGAGGAAGGGGCUUCUGGGUCUCACCUGGCUUUGGCCCAUGGCAGCGUCUGAUCCCUGGGUGUCUUUUCUUCUCUGCUAGAAGGAGGCCCAAAGCCCUUGGCUGCCAGCCUGGGAGGGGCUGCAGUGGGUAGCGGGCUCAGCUCGGGGAGGUUCUGGAUUCUGCAUCUUACUGGGUCUUUAAGUUCUGGUGUCCUCUGUCCUGGGCCCCGAGUGAGGGGAAGGGUAACUCUGAA